UACGUAGGGGGCUAGCGUUAUCCAGAAUUACUGGGCGUAAAGGGUGCGUAGGUGGUUUCUUAAGUCAGAGGUGAAAGGCUACGGCUCAACCGUAGUAAGCCUUUGAAACUGGGGAACUUGAGUGCAGGAGAGGAGAGUGGAAUUCCUAGUGUAGCGGUGAAAUGCGUAGAUAUUAGGAGGAACACCAGUUGCGAAGGCGGCUCUCUGGACUGUAACUGACACUGAGGCACGAAAGCGUGGGGAGCAAACAGG
rnacentral:rRNA from 1 species